GGUUAAGCGACUAAGCGUACACGGUGGAUGCCCUGGCAGUCAGAGGCGAUGAAGGACGUGCUAAUCUGCGAUAAGCGCCGGUAAGGUGAUAUGAACCGUUAUAACCGGCGAUUUCCGAAUGGGGAAACCCAGUGUGACUCGUCACACUAUCAUUAACUGAAUCCAUAGGUUAAUGAGGCGAACCGGGGGAACUGAAACAUCUAAGUACCCCGAGGAAAAGAAAUCAACCGAGAUUCCCCCAGUAGCGGCGAGCGAACGGGGAGGAGCCCAGAGCCUGAAUCAGCAUGUGUGUUAGUGGAAGCGUCUGGAAAGGCGCGCGAUACAGGGUGACAGCCCCGUACACAAAAGCGCAUGUGCUGUGAGCUCGAAGAGUAGGGCGGGACACGUGGUAUCCUGUCUGAAUAUGGGGGGACCAUCCUCCAAGGCUAAAUACUCCUGACUGACCGAUAGUGAACCAGUACCGUGAGGGAAAGGCGAAAAGAACCCCGGCGAGGGGAGUGAAAAAGAACCUGAAACCGUGUACGUACAAGCAGUGGGAGCCCCACCACUAAGCCAGUGGUGAACUCCACAUACGCAUCCUUUGCUGAGGAUACGGUUAACGGAGCGCAAGCGACGUUCAACCGCAAAAGAAGCAGAGGGGGCUUAGUGGUGGGGUGACUGCGUACCUUUUGUAUAAUGGGUCAGCGACUUAUAUUCUGUAGCAAGGUUAACCGAAUAGGGGAGCCGGAGGGAAACCGAGUCUUAAU
rnacentral:rRNA from 1 species